rnacentral:lncRNA from 1 species
AUGGUCCAGCAGGCCGGCCUGGCCUCCCGCCUGACCUGCCUCCAGAGUUUCCAGGCUGGCGUGCUGAGGGAGGCCUCCUGCACGGAGCUGCACACCCUGGGGCCCCUCUCUGAGAAGGCAAGUGCUGUGCAGAUGCGGACGCUUUCCUCGCUCACCCUGCUGCGUGAGAUGUCCCUGGAUCCAGCCGUCACAGCGCUUCCCAUAUCAGAUCCAGAUGAUGGAGAUGUGACUCCAAGCAGCCUGUUGUACGAAUGGGAGGAAACACAGUCUCAGGCUACAGUAGUCACAGCGGCCACAUUGGUGAGGAUGCUGUGCCUGGCUCAGACCACGAGUUUUGAGGUAAGUGCUUUCUCCAGCCCUAGGCUAGAAUCUGGCCUGGAUCCCUGGAACACCUUUUUUUUUUUUUUUUUCUAAAUCCUUUAUGGUCUACCCUCCUACAUGUUCAGGAUCAGCGCUACUAUGUACAGUUGCACAGGUUGUGCACUACAAGGCUGUGCCUGGUUGCAAAAGAAGGGGAAGAGAUCUAGCUGGUGUGUGUGAAGCCUUGUACCCCC